CCUACGGGAGGCGGCAGGGAGGAAUAGUGGGCAAUGGACGAGAGUCUGAACCAGCCAAGUAGCGUGAAGGAUGAAAGCCCUAUGGGUGGUAAACUGCGUUUAUAAAGGAAUAAAACGAGGCACGUGUGCCUUUUUGCAUGUACUUUAUGAAUAAGGAUCGGCUAACUCCGUGCCAGCAGCCGCGGUAAUACGGAGGAUCCGAGCGUUAUCCGGAUUUAUUGGGUUUAAAGGGAGCGUAGAUGGGUUGUUAAGUCAGUUGUGAAAGUUUGCGGCUCAACCGUAAAAUUGCACUUGAUACUGGCAGUCUUGAGUACAGUUGAGGUAAGCGGAAUUCGUGGUGUAGCGGUGAAAUGCUUCGCUAUCACGAAGAACCCCGAUUGCGAAGGCAGCUUACUAAACUGUGACUGACAUUGAUGCUCGAAAGUGUGGGUAUCAAACAGGAUUAGAUACCCCUGUAGUC
rnacentral:rRNA from 1 species